rnacentral:tRNA from 2 species
GGGUGCGUAGCUCAGCUGGAUAGAGCAUCUGCCUUCUAAGCAGACGGUCAAAGGUUCGAAUCCUUUCGCGCUCACGA